GACAGUUAACCCUUUUGCAGCGCUAACUCAUGUCUCCUGUUUCUCACAGAUCGCCUUAUGCUCUGGAUCACUCUCCAGACGCUCUUCCAAGUUCUGAAGUCUCAAGUCAAGUCCCUGGAUCCUCAUCGCUCAGAUUCUGCUCUGGCACUUGUUCAGCAUUUUUAACACACUCCUCUCGAGCCCACUUGAUGUUACCAAGCCGGACAAGAGUUCCCCUCUGGAUUCUCCCUGGUUCCUUCAGCUGCUCACUGGCCGCUGCUUCCAGAUGCGGUGCUGCUUGGACUCCCCGCCUCCAUUCCAUCAACCCGCUCACCUGUCACUCAGUCACCUAGUUCCACCUAAGAGAAGAGCUCCUCUGAAUCCAUUCUUCUGCUCCACUCUCCCCGGCUAGGUUACCUGAACCCAGCGGUAAGCCCACCUAAUUUUUGGCUGGUUGUCCCUCUCUGCCCGGUGUAAUCUAUUUCCAUUUUUUCCGCAGAGCUAUCAGUUCCGGAAUCCCGUUUCUGUCGGCCGCUCACUCUGAGCAUCUCUCUGCGUUUCUUCGUGCCUAAAUAAACAUCUUAAAACUG